rnacentral:rRNA from 1 species
CCUACGGGGGGCAGCAGUGGGGAAUUUUGGACAAUGGGCGCAAGCCUGAUCCAGCUAUUCCGCGUGUGGGAAGACGGCCUUCGGGUUGUAAACCACUUUUGUAGAGAACGAAAAGUCUAUUGAUAAUACCGAUAGAUGAUGACGGUACUCUAAGAAUAAGCACAGGCUAACUACGUGCCAGCAGCCGCGGUAAUACGUAGGGUGCGAGCGUUAAUCGGAAUUACUGGGCGUAAAGGGUGUGCAGGCGGUUUUGCAAGAUGGAUGUGAAAGCCCCGGGCUUAACCUGGGAAAGCCAUAAAGGACUGCAAGACUAGAGUGCGUCAGAGGGAGGUGGAAUUCCAAGUGUAGCAGUGAAAUGCGUAGAUAUUUGGAAGAACACCGAUGGCGAAGGCAGCCCCCUGGGACGCAACUGACGCUCAUACACGAAAGCGUGGGGAGCAAACAGGAUUAGAUACCCUUGUAGUC